CGAAACUCCAGCAACAAAGAAAAGUAGUCAGAGAAGGAGCGGCGACGUUGGGUCGCCCGCCCCUGCUCGCCGAGGAAGGCCGAAUACAGUUAUGGCCACCCAGGUAAUGGGACAGUCUUCUGGAGGAGGAGGGCUGUUCACUGGCAGUAGCAACAUUGGCAUGGCCUUGCCCAACGACAUGUAUGACUUGCAUGACCUCUCCAAAGCUGAACUGGCUGCACCUCAGCUUAUCAUGCUGGCAAACGUGGCCUUAACUGGAGAAGUAAAUGGCAGCUGCUGUGAUUACCUCGUUGGUGAAGAAAGACAGAUGGCAGAAUUGAUGCCUGUUGGAGAUAACAAUUUUUCAGAUAGUGAUGGAGAAGGACUUGAGGAGUCUCCUGAAAUAAAAGGUGAACCUACUGGCCUGGAAAACGUGGAACUGAGAAGUUUGGAACUUAGUGUUGUAGAACCACAGCCUGUAUUUGAGGCAUCAGCUACCCCAGAAAUUUACAGCUUAAAUAAAGAUCUUCCUCCCGAAACACCUGGAGCAGAGGACAAAGGCAAGACCUUAAAGACAAAACCCUUUCGCUGUAAGCCGUGCCAAUACGAAGCUGAAUCUGAAGAACAGUUUGUGCAUCACAUCAGAGUUCACAGUGCCAAGAAAUUUUUUGUGGAAGAAAGUGCAGAGAAGCAAGCAAAGGCCAGGGAAUCUGGCUCUUCCACUGCAGAAGAGGGAGAUUUCUCCAAGGGCCCCAUUCGUUGUGAUCGCUGUGGCUACAAUACCAAUCGAUAUGAUCACUAUACUGCACACCUGAAACACCACACCAGAGCUGGGGAUAAUGAGCGAGUCUACAAGUGCAUCAUUUGCACAUAUACAACAGUAAGCGAGUAUCACUGGAGGAAACACUUGAGAAACCAUUUUCCAAGGAAAGUAUACACAUGUGGAAAAUGCAACUAUUUUUCAGACAGAAAAAACAAUUAUGUUCAGCAUGUUCGAACUCAUACAGGAGAACGCCCAUAUAAAUGUGAACUUUGUCCUUACUCAAGUUCUCAGAAGACUCAUCUAACUAGACAUAUGCGUACUCACUCAGGUGAGAAGCCAUUUAAAUGUGAUCAGUGCAGUUAUGUGGCCUCUAAUCAACAUGAAGUAACUCGCCAUGCAAGACAGGUUCACAAUGGGCCUAAACCUCUUAAUUGCCCACACUGUGACUACAAAACAGCAGAUAGAAGUAAUUUCAAAAAACAUGUAGAGCUACAUGUUAACCCACGGCAGUUUAAUUGCCCUGUAUGCGACUAUGCAGCUUCCAAGAAGUGUAAUCUACAGUAUCAUUUCAAAUCCAAGCAUCCUACUUGUCCUAAUAAAACAAUGGAUGUCUCAAAAGUAAAACUAAAGAAAACCAAAAAGCGAGAGGCUGACUUGCCUGAUCACAAUAUUACCAAUGAAAAAACAGAAACAGAGCAGACAAAAAUAAAGGAGGAUGUGGCUGGAAAGAAAAAUGAGAAGUCUGUAAAAGCAGAGAAAAGAGAAAAUGUUUCAAAAGAGAAAAAGCCUUGUAGUAAUGUCUCAGCGAUCCAAGUGACUACCAGAACUCGCAAAUUAGCAACAGAGACUAAAGAGAUGGAUGUAUAUACGGGAAAUAGUUCAGAAAAAUCCUGUAAAACCAAGAAAAGCAAAAGGAAGAUGGAAGCUGAAGCCCAUUCCUUACAUGAUCCUGUGAAUGUUGAGGAACCUGUGACAAAAAAGAAAAAGAAGGUAGAAAACAAAUCCAAAAAGAGUCAGGAAUUGCCAAAGGGUGACAGCAAAGUGGAAGAGAAUAAAAAGCAAAAUACCUGCAUGAAAAAAAGUACAAAGAAGAAGACUCUGAAAAAUAAAUCAAGUAAAAAAAGCAGCAAGCCUGCUCAGAAGGGGCCAGCUCAGAAGGAGCCUGCUCAGAAGGGGCCUGCUCAGAAGGGACCUGCUCAGAAGGAGCCUGUUCAGGUGGAGCCUCCUCCCGUGGAGCCUGUCCCCAUGGAGGCUGAUCAGAAAGGGCCUGCUCAAAUGGAGCUGCCUCUUCCCAUGGAACUUGCUCCCAUGGAGGUUGUUCAGAAGGGGGCUGCCCAGAUGGAGCUUCCUCUUUCCAUGGAGCCUGCUCCCAUUGAGGUUGUUCAGAAGGAGUCUGCUCAGACGGAGCUUCCUCUUCCCAUGGAGCCUGCUCCCAUUGAGGUUGUUCAGAAGGAGCCUGCUCAGAUGGAACUGCUGCCUCCCAUGGAGGUUGCUCAGAUGGCGCCUACUCAGAUGGAGCCUGCUCAGAUGGAAGUUGUUCAGAAAGAGCCUGUUCAGACGGAGGUUGUUCAGAUGGAGGAUGCUCACAAGGAGCCACCUCCUCCCAUACAGCCUUCUCUUCACAUGGAGCCAAUUCCCAGAAAGUCUCCUUCCCGAAAAGAUAAUAAAAAGGAAAAAUCCAACAUGCAGAGUGAAAUGGCACAGAAAGAGCAGGUCCUUAUCGAAGUUGGUUUAGUGCCUGUUAAAGAUAGCCAGCUUCUAAAGGAAAUUGCAAACUCACAGGAUCUCUUACCACCAUCACCACUGCUACCAAAGGAAGACUUAAAAGAAGAGGUGCCAAAAGACCAAGAGAGUGAAGGAAGUAAAGAAGCCCUUUUUCAGAAAGUAGAAGCAGAAGAGGCAGGUAAGAGACUAGCUGGUCUUACUGCUGGUAUCAAGGAAUCUACCCGUGUUUCAUCCUUUGGAGAAAACUUGAAUAUGGCAGAGAGUGAAACUUUAGAUGGUAAACAUCAGACUGACGCUGUGCUUUGUGAAAUGGAAGUGGACACUGAUCAGAACACAACAGAGAAUCUCCCUAGUAAAAACUCAACAGUUAAAGAACGAGUUUCACCAUUGCUUCUUCCCCCACCAAUAGAAGAAGAGGAAGGAGGGUCCAAAACUGUUCUUGUGUCACCUCCUGUUAGCAUAGCAGAAAAUGAGUCUCAGGAAAUUGAUGAAGAUGAAGGCAUCCACAGUCAUGAUGGAAGUGACCUUAGUGACAACAUGUCAGAGGGUAGUGAUGAUUCUGGAUUGCAUGGGGCUCGGCCAGUUCCACAAGAAACUAAUAGAAAAAAUGCAAAGGAAGCCUUAGCAGUCAAAGUGGUGGACGGAGAUUUUGUUUGUAUCUUUUGUGAUCGUUCUUUUAGAAAGGAAAAAGAUUACAGCAAACACCUCAACCGCCAUUUGGUUAAUGUGUACUUCCUUGAAAAAGCAGCUAAAGGGCAGGAGUAAUUAAACUUCGGACAAGAGAUGAGAAAAGACAUUUAAAUUGAAGAAAAAUUCUUUCAACAGUGGACAUUGUAUCAGUCCAGGUUUCAGAUUUUGGCAGUGCAACAUGAAAGAUUAGGGAAAGCAUUGAUGUGGGUGAAAAAACUUGUUAAAAAUCUGAGAGUGAAGUUUGAGUUAAAAGUUGUUUGAACUUGGAAUUGACUGGGAGGCCAAAGAUUUAAAGAAGCAGAAGAUGCUCGCAAGACAUGAAGAGUAAGUUGUGUGAUAAUGGUGUGUGUUUUGUGUGCAUGAAUGCGAAUUUGUAAAUGUUGAAUUCUAGGCUCCGACAAUCAUUGUCAACAGAAAAUCAAGCUGCAAAUAUUUAUGUUUUAAAAUUUAAAUUAUAAAGCUAGUUAAAUGCUUCUAACAACUAGUAUUAAUGUUCAUGGGUACAUUUUAUCUAAGUUUUUUACGUUAUAGAAAAAGAUCCAUCUUAAGCACAGAUUGGAGAUUGGGAAUAAAUUUGGGGAAGAGGUUUUUGUGGAUUCUUUCAUACUGCAAAAGAAAAAAUUGCCUUCUAGGGAAUUUAACUAGUCUUUAAGACUAGAAUGCUGAAAACAAAAAUACAAAGGAAAUUAAAACCCCUUAUUAAAUUGAUCUGUAAGAACAUUGUUACUGGAGAUUGAUUGGGAAUUGAGGCCUUUUUUCCAGAAAACAAGGACUUGAUUGUCAGGCCUAUAUUAGGUUCUGAACCUUAAUGCCAUGUAUUUGUUGUACUUAUUAAAAGUUUCAAUGAAAAGUAUAUUAGUAAUAUGAACUUCUGGUCCAGUUGGGAGUUCUUCCAUUUGAAAAAUGUGAUAUUUGCAUGGAACUGUUUGAAUCUUUUUAUUUUCUAGUCCCCUCUUCCCCCCAUUGGAUAGAAUUGAAACUAGAAUUUUCUCUUGAUAAAGGAAAAAAAGAGAACAUGUUAUUUGUAAAUUGAUGUUUAGUGGCUAGUGAUACACUUGAAAUACUAGAGUAAUUAUAAGCCUAAUCCUAGAUAGUCUUAUGAAAACGAAUCUCUUUUAACUAUUGUUUGAACUUGUAUUCCCAUGGGUUUUAAGUUAUAUGUUUUCUCUUUUUUUCAGAGCUGCUUAUUAUGGGGGCUACUUUUUUUCUACUUUUUUUUUUUUUAGGUGUAGUUCACAAGGGGUUGCAUUUUUUUAAUAAGGCCUCUUACAUCGAUGGUUGGAUGUUUUGCUCUAGUCUUCCAAGAAGGACCAUGUUAUUUUUUAGAGUCACUUCUAGAGUCAUGUGGUCAUUAACUUUGGGGACUAUUUUGCAUCUGAGCUCCGAUUAAAACCCAAGUAGACCUCAUUGCAUAUCACCCCAUGAAUGUUGACAAUGGAAGGAAUACCUUGUCUGUAGUAUACUUCUGGACUGAAAAGCUGGGGAAGAAAUAUAAUUUUUUUUGGCAUAAAUCAGAAAAAUUUACAGCUAGUGUGUUGUUUCCUUGUUGACCUCAGCAGAUAAAGUGAGCUGAUAGUGUUAAUUCAGAUUUAAGAAAUUAUCUGAAUCUUGGUUUGUGUAGAUUUACAAUCUACAUGCAAUAUUAAUAAAUCAGAUAGCUUUUACAGUUUCACAUGUGUAUAUAGGCUCUCUCCCACCCCCUUCAACAUUCAUUAGUUAUUGAACUUUGUAAACUGGCAUUGAAACAUUACAACAAUGUUUUGUUGCACCAAUUUUAUAAGCUUUUAUAGUGCAAUACAUGUUAUUUUUCUGAGGCAAACCAAAGGUAAAUUUCUCAAGGUUCUUGCUGCCUUCUUUAGCAGCAUUUGAUGGAGGAUCUUUUAUACAUUUGUAAUAGAUAAAAAUAAACAAGAUUGCAAAACCUUUUUUAAAAAAAUCUUCAACUGUGUACCAAGUUUUUGGUCCAAAUUGUGUAGGAUAAGUUAAACUUAAAUUGCAUCUAUUAACCAAUA